UACCAGCACCCCGAGUGGUCGGGACGUUUAUUGGGCCUAAAGCAUCCGUAGCCGGUUCUACAAGUCUUCCGUUAAAUCCACCUGCUUAACAGAUGGGCUGCGGAAGAUACUAUAGAGCUAGGAGGCGGGAGAGGCAAGCGGUACUCGAUGGGUAGGGGUAAAAUCCGUUGAUCCAUUGAAGACCACCAGUGGCGAAGGCGGCUUGCCAGAACGCGCUCGACGGUGGA
rnacentral:rRNA from 1 species